rnacentral:rRNA from 1 species
AUACCAAUACUUUGAAUUUAUAUUUAAAUAGUAUAAAAUAAAGUAAUGAUUAUUUAAAUGAGAUUAGGAUAAAUGAGUAUAGUAAUUGUAGGUAAAAUUUAAUUUUUAUAAUUAAUUAUAUUAUCCUAAUUGUAAAUUCUUUGAAAAUAAGAUUUGAGUAGACUAGGAUUAGAGACCCUAUUAUUCUUUAUUUUAAAAAUUUUAUUAUUUAAGUAGUAAGAGCUAAAUAAUAAUUAGUGAUAUUUAAUUUAGAUUGUGCUUGAAACUUAAAAGGCUUGGCGGUAUUAUAUAUCCUUCCAGGGGAGCUUGCUUAUUAAUUUGAUAUUCCUCAAUUUAUACUUACUUUUUCUUGAAUAAUUACAGUUUGUGUAUUGCUGUCGUCAGUUUAUUUUGUAAAAAUUUUGGAAAAAACUUUAUAAUGGAUGGAUUAUG